rnacentral:tRNA from 1 species
GCUGGGGUUGUGGCUUAGUGGUAGAGCACUUGCCUAGCAUGUGUGAGGCACUGGGUUCGAUCUUCAGCACAGCA